rnacentral:rRNA from 1 species
UCGAACGCGAAAGGGGCUUCGGCCCUGAGUAGAGUGGCGAACGGGUGAGUAACACGUGGGUGAUCUACCUCGAAGUGGGGGAUAACGUUCCGAAAGGAGCGCUAAUACCGCAUGACGUUCUGGGUUUGAAGACCUGGAAACCAAAGCUGGGGACCGCAAGGCCUGGCGCUUGGAGAGGAGCCCGCGCCUGAUUAGCUAGUUGGCGGGGUAAUGGCCCACCAAGGCGACGAUCAGUAGCCGGCCUGAGAGGGCGGACGGCCACACUGGGACUGAGACACGGCCCAGACUCCUACGGGAGGCAGCAGUGGGGAAUUGUUCGCAAUGGGCGCAAGCCUGACGACGCAACGCCGCGUGGAGGAUGAAGGCCUUCGGGUCGUAAACUCCUGUUGAUCGGGAAGAACGAGCUCUGGGCUAAUCACCGGAGCAGUGACGGUACCGAUUGAGGAAGCCACGGCUAACUCUGUGCCAGCAGCCGCGGUAAUACAGAGGUGGCAAGCGUUGUUCGGAAUUACUGGGCGUAAAGGGCGCGUAGGCGGCCGCCUAAGUCAGACGUGAAAUCCCCAAGCUUAACUUGGGAACUGCGUCUGAUACUGGGUGGCUUGAGUUCGGGAGAGGAAUGUGGAAUUCCAGGUGUAGCGGUGAAAUGCGUAGAUACCUGGAGGAACACCNGUGGCGAAGGCGGCAUUCUGGACCGAAACUGACGCUGAGGCGCGAAAGCUAGGGGAGCAAACGGGAUUAGAUACCCCGGUAGUCC